rnacentral:misc_RNA from 1 species
UUGGAUGUUGCUGGGUCUUAACGACUCGGCUCGUCUUAAAAGCAUUAGCUGUCUCUCACGACUUCAGUUAACGGUGUGAUAAUUACAUCUACGCCGAAGCCUUCGGGCGCUGAGUCGGGUUAAAGCGGCUUCUAAUCGUCUUCGGACAAUUUCAUUUCACAUCUGGCCUCGAAUCAGGUAGGACUACCCGCUGAACUUAA